UAAGACAAUUGGUUUACUCAAUUUAAGUAACUGAUCCCUUUUUACAGUGUACAUUUGUAAUAAGUUAACUUAAUUUCUUUAUAUUGUCCCAACAAAAACCGAUUAAGUGCAACCCAACAUUUUUUUUACGGUGCGGCGAAUGGGAUUUUCAACACUUUAUCCAAAUUUUGGACUAAAGUAUAGUUUGUUAAACAUCUUUACAUAAUAACCAACAAACUGAAAACAGUGUCUGCAGUCUGCAUCAGUAAACAAUCAGUACAGGAUCUGCUCAUGUGAUGCUCCUCUCUGGAGAAGUUGUUUUUCCAUCCAUUAAUAGGUCUCAUAACUACAGCGCUGAGCAUUAAUUACUCCCAUACUCCUAAAAAAAAAAAAAGUGAACGCGUGUGUUGUCAGUGGACUGCAAUCAUUGCCUCACGUCCUCAGAGAAAUGCUACCCUAAAGCGCCUGCAUUUCUCCCCAUGGACUUAAUCUGUAACAAUCCAUAUUUAUUUUAAAUGAACACUUUGUGAAUUACAAGUUGACAGUGAGUGUGUGCCUCUUUCAUGCAUUGUCUUUUCUGAUUUCAGCUCUCUAAUUGCAGACAGACCUGUCCUAUCUUGCUCAUAAAGACCAAUCUUUGUGCAAACUUUUGCUUCAACCUGCCUGGAAGUUUCUGGUAAUCUUAAAGACCUUCAUUAGAUGGUUCAGAUGUAUUUAAACUCUGCAGGAAGGUGGAUUCUCAUGAGAAGCAUCACUUCACUGUCUUGAGGGCAAACACUGAAGAUGUUUAGAGGGAAUUUUCUCAAUCUAUGUCUGUCUUUGAACCUUUAGCCUUUCUAGAUAACCCAAGGCCCUUGAACACUGGGCAACCAUCCUCUCCAUGCUUCAGGUCUUAAAGAGCUCUCAUUGGCUGAAGGGGCAGCAGUGUUUCCGUGACUCAGCG